rnacentral:rRNA from 1 species
AACGAACGCUGGCGGCAUGCCUAACACAUGCAAGUCGAACGAGACCUUCGGGUCUAGUGGCGCACGGGUGCGUAACGCGUGGGAACCUGCCCUUAGGUUCGGAAUAACUCCCCGAAAGGGGUGCUAAUACCGGAUAAUGUCUUCGGACCAAAGGUUUAUCGCCUUUGGAUGGGCCCGCGUUGGAUUAGCUAGUUGGUAGGGUAAAAGCCUACCAAGGCGACGAUCCAUAGCUGGUCUGAGAGGAUGAUCAGCCACACUGGGACUGAGACACGGCCCAGACUCCUACGGGAGGCAGCAGUGGGGAAUAUUGGACAAUGGGCGAAAGCCUGAUCCAGCAAUGCCGCGUGAGUGAUGAAGGCCUUAGGGUUGUAAAGCUCUUUUACCCGGGAUGAUAAUGACAGUACCGGGAGAAUAAGCUCCGGCUAACUCCGU